CCUACGGGUGGCAGCAGUGAGGAAUAUUGGUCAAUGGCCGAGAGGCUGAACCAGCCAAGUCGCGUGAGGGAAGACGGCCCUACGGGUUGUAAACCUCUUUUGUCGGGGAGCAAAGAGAGUCACGUGUGACUCAUUGAGAGUACCCGAAGAAAAAGCAUCGGCUAACUCCGUGCCAGCAGCCGCGGUAAUAAGGAGGAUGCGAGCGGUAUCCGGAUUUAUUGGGUUUAAAGGGUGCGCAGGCGGAGGUGCAAGUCAGCGGUCAAAUUGCGGUGCUCAACCCCGUACUGCCGUUGAAACUGCAGCCCUUGAGUGCGCGAGAAGUAUGCGGAAUGCGUGGUGUAGCGGUGAAAUGCAUAGAUAUCACGCAGAACUCCGAUUGCGAAGGCAGCAUACCGGCGCGCAACUGACGCUCAUGCACGAAAGCGUGGGUAUCGAACAGGAUUAGAUACCCCAGUAGUC
rnacentral:rRNA from 1 species